rnacentral:rRNA from 1 species
AAACUAAGUUUUUGGGAGGCGGAGUAUUUCGCUUCCGCGUUAGCCUGGUGUCCGUGAAAAGGGAGCUGGAGUCGUAUGAGUUGUCCGUACCGAGAUCUGACACAGGUGCCCCUAGGUGAGUAGCCUAAGGCGUCGCGGCAGAAUCCGGGCGAGGGAAUUCGGCAAAUUAGCCCCGUACCUUUGGUAUAAGGGGUGCCAGCUCUGAAGAGAGCUGGUCGCAGUGACUAGGGAGCUCCGACUGUUUAUUAAAAACACAGGUGGCUGCUAGUCCGUAAGGAUGUGUAUAGCCGCUGAAUCCUGCCCAGUGGCAGUAUCUGAAACCAGGUUUCAACCUGACGAAGGACUGCUAAACGGCGGGGGUAACUAUGACCCUCUUAAGGUAGCGUAAUACCUUGUCGCUUAAUUGGCGACUUGCACGAACGGCCUAACGAGAGCUCUACUGUCCCCGCCCGGAGCCCGAUGAAAUUGACUUACUGGCGCACAGUCCAGUACGUCCCAGCCGCAAGCGAAGACCCCGUGGAGCUUUACUGCAACCUGCCGUUGUGGCACGAGUUGUUAUGUGUAGCGUAGACGGGAGACAUUACACAGGUGCGAGCGCUAGCUCGUCGCCGAGUCACCGAUGAAACACCGUCCUUUUCGAUUCGUCCCACUCACCUCUUAGGAGGAACCCCGGUAGGCGGGCAGUUUGGGUGGGGCGCCACUCCCUCGAAAAAAUAACAAGGGAGCCCAAAGGUCAGCUUAGGUAGGUCAGGAAUCUACCGUUAAGUGCAAGGGCAAAAGCUGGCUUGACGUGGUUUGGCAACACAACAAACCACGAUGUGAAAGCAGGGCCUAGCGAACCAACCAGCGCCGUUAGUAGGUGCGGUUGAUAACAGAAAAGUUACCCCGGGGAUAACUGAGUUGUCUGGAGCAAGAGCCCACAUCGACCUCCAGGCUUGCUACUUCGAUGUCGUCUCUUCCUAUCCUGGGUGUGCAGAAGCACCCAAGGGUGGGGUUGUUCGCCCAUUAAAAGGGAUCGUGAGAUGGGUUUAGACCGUCGUGAGACAGGUUUGUUGCUAUGUGCUGGGACUGUCCAAUGCCUGAGGGGAAGGAUCCUCUAGUACGAGAGGAACGAGGGUUCGCAGCCACUAGUUUACCAGUUGUCUGACAAGGCACCGCUGGGCAGCCACGCUGUAAGGGAUAAGAGCUGAAAGCAUCUAAGCUCGAAACCCGCCUCAAAACGAGGCAUUUUGACACUUAUAGAAGAUAAGAUUGAUAGGACCGGGGUGUAAGCACCGAGAGCUUUAGUGCUGCUAGAAACGUUACUUCGGUAACGCGGAAAGUAGUACUUCGAGGUGU